rnacentral:rRNA from 1 species
AUUGAACGCUGGCGGCGUGCCUAACACAUGCAAGUCGAGCGGUAACAGGUGUAGCAAUACAUGCUGACGAGCGGCGAACGGGUGAGUAAUGCUUCGGAAUCUACCUUAUGGUGGGGAAUAACUAGCCGAAAGGUUAGCUAAUACCGCAUACGUCCUACGGGAGAAAGCAGGGGAUCGCAAGACUCUGCGCCAAAAGAUGCGCCGAAGUCGGAUUAGCAAGUUGGUAGGGUAACGGCCUACCAAGGCGACGAUCCGUAGCUGGUCUGAGAGGACGACCAGCCACACUGGGACUGAGACACGGCCCAGACCCCUACGGGAGGCAGCAGUGGGGAAUACUGGACAAUGGGGGAAACCCUGAUCCAGCGACGCCGCGUGUGUGAAGAAGGCCUGCGGGUUGUAAAGCACUUUUAGUGGGGAUGAAAUGUGCAGGGUUAAUACCUCUGCAUUUUGACCUAACCCACAGAAAAAGCACCGGCUAACUCUGUGCCAGCCGCCGCCGUAA